rnacentral:rRNA from 1 species
UACGUAGGUGGCAAGCGAUACUCGGAAUCACUAGGCGUAAAGCGCAGGUAGGAGGUUUAGUAAGUCUGUUGUGAAAGCUCGGGGCUUAACUCCGGGCCUGCAGUGGGUACGGGCAGACUAGAGUGCGGUAGGGGAGACUGGAAUUCCUGGUGUAGCGGUGAAAUGCGCAGAUAUCAGGAGGAACACCGGUGGCGAAGGCGGGUCUCUGGGCCGUAACUGACGCUGAGGAGCGAAAGCGUGGGGAGCGAACAGG